AAGAACUCUCUAGGAGGAGUUCGUUAAAAUACAACACAUGGAAAUGACCAAAAUUACACAAAAUAUGCUCAUAAUAUUAAAAAUAACCGACUUCCUGUUGGGUUUAGAAUUUCGCUCCAAGAGUCUUUUUUGUAGGUAUUGGUGUGUUACAUAUGUGUGCCAAUUUUCGUGCAUGUACGUGAAACAUAGCUGGAAGGCUGUUGAUUUUCUUGGUAUAGGUGGCGCUGUCGAGCCAUUUUGCCACACCCUCUUCUGAAUCCUAUAUCAGACGAAAAUUUUCACCAGGUUUGACGAGUGUGCAAAGUUUCAUGACUUUUUGAGCAUGUUAAAGCCCUCAAAAAUGCGAUUCAUUCGGGAGAAGAAGAAGAAGAAGAAGAAGAAGAAUAAUAAUAAUUAAAGCUGCAAGCAGCGAUGAACGGGCCCUCGCACCCGGGCUCACCGCCAUCGUGUGGCUUUAGUAAAAAGGUGAACGUUGAGAAAUAUGCAUUUAAACUCAUAAAUAUAAGUGCAAUAUAUCAAAGUUUAUUCCAUAUGUGUGCCAAUCUUCCUGUUGCCAGCAGGUGGCGCUAUCGUUAUAAUGGAAUAAUGGCCUUCAGAUGUGUUCAAGCCAGGACCCUUAUCACACAUGUGAAGUUUGGGCAAGAUCGGACAUUUUAUGCCUGAGUUAUAACAUCUUUUAUUCCCAUGGCGAGACAUCGAACUUCGUCAUGGCGCCAUGGACACGCCCUUUAACAAAAACUCAAGAUCUCCACAAGUUAACAUUGCACAGUCCUUCAGAUUAGACUGACCACAAAAAAGACAUUGAUGUCAUAAAAUCUCUAGGAGUAGUUUGUCGCAGUGUAAAAUAUGUCACUUCCUGUUGCCAAUAGGUGGCGCUAUGACUAUAACUGAAUAUGGGCAUGUAGAUCUGUUCAGGUCAAGAGUCUCAUCCAACAUGUGAAGUUUGGGGCAGAUUGGACAUUGUAUGUCUGAGUUACAGCAACUUCCUUUUUCAUGGCGAAACAUCGAAAUUUGUCAGGCCGCCAUGGACAUGCCCUUUAACGAAACCUCAAGUCCUUCGCAAUUUAACAUCGCAAAUGGCUUUAGAUUACACUGACCAAGUUUGGUGUUGAUCUGAAUAAAUCUCUAGGAGGAGUUCGUUAAAGUACAACCCCUGAAAAUGGCAAAAACAACACCAAUUUUGAAGGGAAAAUUAAAAAUAACCGACUUCCUGUUGGGAUCCGGAUUUCGUACCAAGAGACUUUUUUGUAGGUAUUGGAGUGUUACAUGUGUGUACCAAUUUUUGUACAUGUACGUGAAACAUAGCUCGAGGCGCACUCCGUUGAAUGUGUAUAGGUGGCGCUAUAGAGCCAUUCUGCCACACCCGCUGGAAUAUUGGCCUGCAGAUCUGUUCAGGCCAGGACUCUUAUCACACAUGUGAAGUUUGGGGAAGAUCGGACAUUUUAUGCCUGAGUUAUAACAUCUUUUAUUCCCAUGGCGAGACAUCGAACUUCGUCGCGGCGCCAUGAACAAGCCUUUUAACGAAAACUCAAGAUCUUCACAAUUGAACAUCGCACAGGCCUUUAGAUUAGACUGACCACAAAAAAGACAUUGAUGUCAUAAAAUUUCUAGGAGUAGUUCGUCGCAGCGUAAAAUAUGUCACUUCCUGUUGCCAAUAGGUGGCGCUAUGACUAUAACUGAAUAUGGGCAUGUCAAUCUGUUCAGGUUCAGAGUCUCAUCAAACAUGUGAAGUUUGGGGCAGAUUGGACAUUGUAUGUGUGAGUUAUAGCAACUUCAUUUUUCAUGGCGAAUCAUCGAAAUUCGCCAGGCCGCCACGGACACGCCCUUCAACGAAAACUCAAGAUCUUCGCAAUUUAACAUCGCAAAGGCCUUUAGAUUAGGCAUACCAAAUUUGGUGUUGAUUUGAAGAACUCUCUAGGAGGAGUUCGUUAAAAUACAACAUAUGGAAAUGACCAAAAUUACAAAAAAUUUGCUCAUAAUAUUACAAAUAACCGACUUCCUGUUGGUUUUAGAAUUUUGCUCCAAGAGUCUUUUUUGUAGGUAUUGGUGUGUUACAUAUGUGUGCCAAUUUUCGUGCAUGUACGUGAAACAUAGCUCGAAGGCUGUUGAUUUUCUUCGUAUAGGUGGCGCUGUCGAGCCAUUUUGCCACACCCUCUUCUGAAUCCUAUAUCAGACGAAAAUUUUCACCUGGUUUUACGCGUGUGCAAAGUUUCAUGACUUUUUGAGCAUGUUUAAGUCCUCAAAAAUGCGAUUCAUUUUGGAGAAGCGGAAGAAUAAGAAUAAUAAUAAUAAACAGAGCAGAUACAAUAGGGUCCUCACACCAUCGGUGCUCGGGCCCUAAUUAAAGCUGCAAGCAGCGAUGAACGGGCCCUCGCACCCGGGCUCACCGGCAGCGAGUGGCUUUAGUUAAUAGGUGAACGGUGAGAAAUAUGCGUUUAAACUCAUAAAUAUAAGUAGAAUAUAUCAAUGUUUAUUCCAUACAUGUGCCAAUCUUCCUGUUGCCAGCAGGUGGCGCUAUCAUUAUAGUGGAAUAUUGGCCUUCAGAUGUGUUCAGGGCAGGACUUUUGUCGAACAUGUGAGGUUUGGAGAGGAUUGGACAUUUUAUGCCUGAGUUACAACAACAUCCUAUUUCAUGGCGAAACAUCGAAAUUUGUCAGGCCGCCAUGGACACGCCCUUUAACGAAACCUCAAGAUCUUCGCAAUUUUAGAUCGCAAAAGGCUUUAGAUUACACUGACCAAGUUUGGUGUUGAUCUGAAUAAAUCUCUAGGAGGAGUUCGUUAAAGUCCAACCCCUGAAAAUGGCCAA